AUCUUUCUAGUAUAAAUAAUACUAGUGACUUCCAAUUACUUAACCCUAGUUAAAAUCUAGGGAAAGAUA
rnacentral:tRNA from 1 species